rnacentral:rRNA from 1 species
UACGGAGGGUGCAAGCGUUAUCCGGAUUCACUGGGUUUAAAGGGUGCGUAGGAGGGCAGGUAAGUCAGUGGUGAAAUCUCCAAGCUUAACUUGGAAACUGCCGUUGAUACUAUCUGUCUUGAAUAUUGUGGAGGUGAGCGGAAUAUGUCAUGUAGCGGUGAAAUGCUUAGAUAUGACAUAGAACACCAAUUGCGAAGGCAGCUUGCUACAGGGAUAUUGACACUGAGGCACGAAAGCGUGGGGAUCAAACAGG